AUUCAUGUUCAAAAUAAUUUGACGAACCUACUGUAUAUGUGGUCAGGAUAUACUAGCUUUGAAGAACGAGUGGACACAAAAUUUAAGGAGAAGCUAAGGUUCAAAAUUGGAAUCAACAAGCCGCGCGCACUUUUCUGCCUUGAUUAUUAAAAAAAAACUUUUCUGCCUUGUACUGCUUCGAGAAAGCCGGCCUUUGUUCUCCCUGUCAGGUCAGCCACAGGAGGCCACGCUGGUUCACUGUUUUUA
rnacentral:lncRNA from 1 species